AACCUGGGAACUGCAUUCGAAACUGGCAGGCUUGAGUCUUGUAGAGGGGGGUAGAAUUCCAGGUGUAGCGGUGAAAUGCGUAGAGAUCUGGAGGAAUACCGGUGGCGAAGGCGGCCCCCUGGACAAAGACUGACGCUCAGGUGCGAAAGCGUGGGGAGCAAACAGGAUUAGAUACCCUGGUAGUCCACGCCGUAAACGAUGUCUACUUGGAGGUUGUGCCCUUGAGGCGUGGCUUCCGGAG
rnacentral:rRNA from 1 species